rnacentral:rRNA from 1 species
UACGUAGGCAGCGAGCGUUGUUCGGAAUUACUGGGCGUAAAGAGUGUGUAGGCGGUGUUCUAAGUCUGGUGUGAAAUCUCCCGGCUCAACUGGGAGGGUGCGCCGGAAACUGGAAUGCUAGAGUGUGGGAGAGGUAAGCGGAAUUCCUGGUGUAGCGGUGAAAUGCGUAGAUAUCAGGAGGAACACCUGUGGUGUAGACAGCUUACUGGACCACGACUGACGCUGAGACACGAAAGCGUGGGUAGCAAACAGG